GACGAACGCUGGCGGCGUGCUUAACACAUGCAAGUCGAGCGGAAAGGCCCGGCUUGCGCGGUACUGAAGUUACCAACGGGGGAGUAACACGUGGGUGCUCUACCCUUCACUUAGGCUUAAGCCAGUGCAAGAGAGUCUAAUACGGGACAGGAUCUAUCUUUAGAGGGAUGGUUGGAAAGUGUUUUGGGUGUUGGAUGAGUUCGCGCCCUAUCAGCUUGCUGGUGGUGUAAUGUCCUACCGAAGCGGCGACGGGUAGCCGGACUGUGAGGGUGGCCGGCCACAUUGUGACUGAGAUGCGGCCCCGGCUCCUACGCGUGGGAGCAGGGGGGAAUCUUGAUCAAGGGGCGCGGGCCUGAUGCAGAGGCGCCGCGGGGGGGAUGACGGUCUUCGGGUUGGAGACUCAAUGCGCUAGGGACGAAGCAUUUUGUGACGGUACCUAGAGAAGAAGCCCCGGCUAACUACGUG
rnacentral:rRNA from 1 species